GAAGAAAGUCUUAACCGUCUUGUGCAGAACAUACAGGACAAAUAUGAUGGGAAGAUAUCCCAGUGUUCUGCAGAAGAUUUAGAGGUUCUCAUUGAAGCCAAACUUCAGCUUGCAACUAUUUCUCAGCAAUGGCACCGAGCAGCUUUCAGCAUUGCUUUGGCUUUCUCUGCAAUUCGACUUCUCCAAGAUGCAGAUAUUUUUAGGAUGACAGCAACAAAUUUUCAAGAAAGAAAGGAUAAAAGGGAGAGUUUGGAUUCUUGUGUUGAAGGUGCUCAACAGCCUCACAGUACUAUAGCAGAUCAUCUGAAUAUACAUCUGUGGCUAAGGUGUCGUAAAAUGUUGGUGACUGCACUAGCAACACAGCUACACAGUGUUGGUGAUAAGGAAGAAAAUUAUGUGGCUGAACGCAAAAGUAUUAUAAAAGAAGUAAUAUUAGAGGCAGAAGCCUUUGGUGAUAUUGAGACUCAGGCUGAAAUGAUGGUGCAAGCAGCAAUUCUUGACCUGCAAGAAGGAUGUCCUACGGC
rnacentral:lncRNA from 1 species